GGGUCUUGCUAUGAGUUGAACCCUGAGGAUGUGAUACAAAGCAAGAGGCUGGAGUGAAUGGCUGCUUCCCCACAUAGAAGGAGUUAAACCCUACUGUUUGAGGAUUAUGUGCAGAAGCAGUAUUUCAGGAUCACAUCAGUAAAGGACAUCAAGCGCCUUCGAUAGGAACUACAUGGAUACCAAAUGUUUAAAUCCCAGUAACUACUCCUCGUAGCCCCACAUAGGAGCUGCUCUGGGACUGCAAAGUCUACAGGACAAGGUAAAUGCAGAGUGCAAUCAAGUGCAAACAGUGUGGAGUACAAGGCAGCAAAGAACCACACCUUGAAACAGCAUGAUUUAUUGAGUACUUGGCAUUAAAGGGGAAGGGCCCUUCCUUACCACCUGUUGCAGAAGCUCUUCAAUGAAGACACAAUGAAACUAAGUAGAUAAAUCUCAAUCAAAAUAAGUGAUAGGUAGAAAACUGUGAAAGGUGAAAUUAAAGCCUAAAGUCUAAUUAUGUACAUAGCUGAUGGGUAAAUUCUUUCCCACAUGUAUAGGCAGAUUAACAUGAAAGGAGGGAACAGCCAAGAGGAUCAAGGGAACCUACAAAGGCCUUUCCUCUCUUUUUAAACACUACAGUGUAGUGCAUAGUCUCCCAGCUGUGUGGCCUGGCCCUCAUUAACAUGCCCAGACCUUAAGGGGAUGGAAGUGCCAGCAGCUCUGCGGGGUUGGGGGUGGGGGAAUAAACUGAUGGAGAACAUCAGUUCUGCAGAUGGUUUGGUGUUGAUGAUUCAUACUCUCGCAAGACAGCAGGAUCAGUGUCUUUCCCCUUCAUCACUGUCCUUGAGUUACCACGCUAUGAACGUUCUUUGUGAUCUCUUCAUACUCCAACAAUUGCAGCAUCUUAAAGAGCAGGACCAUUAAACUAGAUUUAAUUUAACUAUAGGUUUGAGUUGUGCUUAUAGUAUUUUUUUUUUGUAUUUUUAUCUCAGGAUUGUUUUGCAAAUAAACUCUUGUGGUGUAAAAUAAAAGAUAAAUUAUCUGCCACCUCCCAUCCACUGUCAGCCAAGUUUGCCCAAUUACAUCACACAAUGAGAUUUUUGAAGGCUAUGGCCAAGUUAUUGAGUCACCUCCCACCUCCCACUGUAAGCUUUAUGGUCUAGUACAAUAGGAAAAGGUUUGCCGAAGUUUUGAAUAAUGCUACCAGCUCACAUGAGUAGAUAGAUAACAAGAAGUAUGGAUCAUGGAGAAAUUCAGAUAAAUAUCAGAAAAUAUUUACUGCAACAACUAGAGCUGUUAAACUGUGGGGUUUAAGCUGCAUUGAAACGCUGGCAUCUUCAGCAACAUGGCCCUUAAUGAAGCCUUACCACAGUAUUGAUUCAGAGAAGGAUGACUUUUAUUACAUAUAUUUUA